CUGAGUCUUUGAAGUGGGUUUGAUGCUGGCCUUCCGAGGCAUGUGCUCGCCCUACUCUCAUCCACUCACACUUGUGCACCUCGACGUUGAAGAAGUGACUAACCCUUCGUGGGUAGCAGCUAGGGCAACCUAGUUGUGGUCGUUCUUUGCGUUUCUUACACAAACUCUAUCGAAUGUACUAGAAUGUCUUUAGCCUACGGGCUUGAAAUGUAAUA
rnacentral:misc_RNA from 1 species